UAACAGGAAACAGCUUGCUGUUUCGCUGACGAGUGGCGGACGGGUGAGUAAUGUCUGGGAAACUGCCUGAUGGAGGGGGAUAACUACUGGAAACGGUAGCUAAUACCGCAUAACGUCGCAAGACCAAAGAGGGGGACCCUCGGGCCUCUUGCCAUCGGAUGUGCCCAGAUGGGAUUAGCUUGUUGGUGGGGUAACGGCUCACCAAGGGGAAGAUCCCUAGCUGGUCUGAGAGGAUGACCAGCCACACUGGAACUGAGACACGGUGAAGACUCCUACGGGAUUCUCGCAGUGGGGAUUCUAGAAAUCUCNUACAUAUAUCAG
rnacentral:sRNA from 1 species